GAUGAACGCUGGCGGCGUGCCUAAUACAUGCAAGUCGAGCGAAUGGAUUAAGAGCUUGCUCUUAUGAAGUUAGCGGCGGACGGGUGAGUAACACGUGGGUAACCUGCCCAUAAGACUGGGAUAACUCCGGGAAACCGGGGCUAAUACCGGAUAACAUUUUGAACCGCAUGGUUCGAAAUUGAAAGGCGGCUUCGGCUGUCACUUAUGGAUGGACCCGCGUCGCAUUAGCUAGUUGGUGAGGUAACGGCUCACCAAGGCAACGAUGCGUAGCCGACCUUAGAGGGUGAUCGGCCACCCUGGGACUGAGACACGGCCCAGACUCCUACGGGAGGCAGCAGUAGGGAAUCUUCCGCAAUGGACGAAAGUCUGACGGAGCAACGCCGCGUGAGUGAUGAAGGCUUUCGGGUCGUAAAACUCUGUUGUUAGGGAAGAACGAGUGCUAGUUGAAUAAGCUGGCACCUUGACGGUACCUAACCAGAAAGCCACGGCUAACUACGUGCCAGCCGCCGCAGUAA
rnacentral:rRNA from 1 species